rnacentral:rRNA from 1 species
UACAGAGGGGGCAAGCGUUGUUCGGAAUUACUGGGCGUAAAGGGCGCGUAGGCGGCCUUCUAAGUCGAACGUGAAAUCCCCGGGCUCAACCCGGGAACUGCGUCCGAUACUGGAAGGCUUGAAUCCGGGAGAGGGAUGCGGAAUUCCAGGUGUAGCGGUAAAAUGCGCAGAUAUCAGGAGGAACACCAAUUGCGAAGGCAGCUCGCUGGGACGUUACUGACGCUGAGACGCGAAAGCGUGGGGAGCAAACAGG